GCUCCAAAAUUUCGGGUAUUUUUAUUCAUUAUAUGGGUACACACGGGAUCCAUAUUAUGACCCGCUAUUUAAAUGUCUGAAAACCUAAUUCUCUAUCUCUUUCACCGCUCCGCAUCUUUUUGACCUAAACCUUCAGCCGCUUCCAUUCUUCUCCUUCACGCUUUCUCUUUUCUCCAAACCUUAAACGAUCCUUUCCUUCAUCCAGUUCUUCCUUCAUUGAUGCAUUAAUAUUAAUCAUAGAUUUGAUAGGUUUAAUGGAUGAAAAUGCCGAUAGAAACUGAUUCCGGCGAAAGCUAGGGUUCCGGCGAAGUUAGUAGUGAUCUGGAGUCGUCGUCACUGAUUUUGCUGAAGGAAACGGCAUGCUCUUCUUUGUUUGUUUGGUUUAUUUAAUUUUCUUUGUUAUUUGUUACAUAUAGUCAAGAUUUUUUUAGGUUUUGUUGAUGAAAAUGCAGAUAGAAACAAAUUCUGGCGAAAGCCAGGGUUCCGGCGAAGUUAGUAGUGAUACGGAGUCGUCGUCCCAAUUUCGCUUAAGGAAACGACUUCGUUCUUCUACAAGGAUUGGAUUAUAAGCUACGACAAAAGCAACCACCAUUCAGUACGCAGUUAAAUAGAUCACUGAGCAGGCCUAGGUAUUGGUGACAAAGGAUGAUGAACUGAAUCCAUGUCAAGGAAAAAUUCGUCUGCCUCUAAAUGGUUACAAGAAAAAGACUACUGAUUGGCUGGAUCAACAUACCUCUGACACUAACCUACCAAGGAAAUAGAAGAUGAUUAUCACAACCUCAUAUGUACUCUGAUUAGGUGCAAGCUCUGCAAUAAACGAUUGCAAGAAGGAUACUCAUCAGUAAGUGGAGAACAUGCGAAACACCAACCCUAGAAUGUUGACUCAACAUAAAUGAUAUUUAUCAUGGUUCAGUCUGGUGUUUCUUAUUCCUUCUAUUAUAAUCGCCAUUGAUUCUUAAGAAAUUGUAUCAUAAGAUCUUAGUUAGAGAUGAUGUACAAAAGAAGUAAUGUACUUUUCUUCACAAUUUAUCACAUGUUGUUGGCAUGAAGAGGAUGUAGCCCGUUUUGUUGGAAAGCGGAUCGAUUCUAAGGAUUUAGCUGCAAAUUUUUCUUGCAUAUGUGUCUCAAAAUCAGAUGAAUAUGCUUUUUGUAGCGAUGGAUGUACUACUAGCAUAGAACCCACACAUCUUUUAGGUGACAAAACCUCAAGUUUGGCUCGUGUUAGGUAUAUGCAUUGGUUUUAAAAAAAUGGAGGUAUGAACUUAAUAUUUUAAGGGUUUCUUUAUCUAUGGUUUCAAACAACAUAUUUUUUGUUUUUUUUUCUCUUUAUGGGGUAAAUAAAAUAAACCAGUUACUUAAUAACACCUGAUUUCUUUGAAUAAAAUAGGAGAACAUAUGCAAAUUUUUUACUUAUAUAAGGAUGUAUCAAAAAUCAACCUAAAAAUCAUUGAUGCCGAAAUCAGUCACUGACUCGAAAACAAAGUUGCAGGGCUGGAUAAAACCUUUUUAGUGAAAAUACGUAGGCUACUAUCACAUACAAACCUUUGUUUUUUAGACUAACAAAAUUUAUGUGUGCAGAAUGGGCCCAAGUACUUUGACAAGGUGAACGUGUCUUGAACAAAGGAUGGGGCUUUGAUUGCUGUUGCAACCAGUGCUACAGUGGGUAAAGAUUGGAAAAUUGGGGUUUUAAAAGACUAGAUAGUUGCAACUCAGAGUAUUUGGAUAGAAGACGGUCGUCAACGGGUUCCUUUGCAUGAAUUUUGUCAGUUGGAGUUUCGGUUACAGAAUGAAGGGGAUACUCCUUGAAACAUACUAAAGGAGAUUGUAUGGAACAAAGAUACAGAGGUUACACAGGUAUGUGGUGUUGUUUAUACGAAAUCAUGUUUUUUUUCAAGGGAAAUGUUGGGUUUUGAACCUGCAAACGCAUGGUUAACAGACUUAGAAGUUACCCGUUGUAUUGUACUUCGUGAUUCUUGAACACUUGGGUUUGGGGUGUA